UCAACUUGCUUCUGCCAUGCCAGCGUCACCCCUGGUCUCAGGUGAUUUCUUAGGCUAAUUCUCAGAGAUGGGGUUAUUGGGCCAAAAAAGCAAACUAUGGCUUUCCGAAGCUCUCAUUGUUCCCAUUAUGUCAUGCAUCCCUGAGAUGCAGUCAGCAGAGGAUUCUAUUUGAGGGACUAAACACUCCCGGGGAAAGCAGGAAGAAGGAGACGGGAACUAACAUUUGCUAUUGAGCGCCAGGCAUCGUCCUACAGGCUUCGAAGUGAACCUUGGAUGUGCUGCUGAUCUGACCUGCCCAGAUUUGUCAUCAUUGUUAUUGUCUUGGCCUCUUAUGAAGACGUUCACCCAGCAGGACUUCAGAAGCUUUGUUCACUCGAUCUCAUUUAAUCCUCACAAUAGUGCCCUAAGGAAGAUAUUAGUAUCCCCAUUUUACAAAGGAGGAAACGGGAACCUGGGGAGAUUAAGCGAAGGCCUCACAGAUCAUGAAUAGAAGAGGCUGGAAACCUAGUCUGGUUCAAGGGUGUGCUCUUUCUGCUCUGCCAUGCUGUGCUUCAGCC
rnacentral:lncRNA from 1 species